UGGGGAAUCUUGCACAAUGGAGGCAACUCUGAUGCAGCGACGCCGCGUGAGCGAUGAAGCCCUUCGGGGUGUAAAGCUCUUUCGACGGGAAAGAUUAUGACGGUACCCGGAGAAGAAGCUGCGGCUAACUACGUGCCAGCAGCCGCGGUAAUACGUAGGCAGCGAGCGUUGUUCGGAAUUACUGGGCGUAAAGAGUGUGUAGGCGGUGUUCCAAGUCUGGUGUGAAAUCUCCCGGCUUAACUGGGAGGGUGCGCCGGAAACUGGAAUGCUCGAGGGUGGGAGAGGUAAGCGGAAUUCCUGGUGUAGCGGUGAAAUGCGUAGAUAUCAGGAGGAACACCUGUGGUGUAGACAGCUUACUGGACCACUUCUGACGCUGAGACACGAAAGCGUGGGUAGCAAACA
rnacentral:rRNA from 1 species